AGUGAACGCUGGCGGUAGGCCUAACACAUGCAAGUCGAACGGCAGCACAGUAAGAGCUUGCUCUUACGGGUGGCGAGUGGCGGACGGGUGAGGAAUACAUCGGAAUCUACUUUUUCGUGGGGGAUAACGUAGGGAAACUUACGCUAAUACCGCAUACGACCUACGGGUGAAAGCAGUGGAUCUUCGGACCUUGCGCGAUUGAAUGAGCCGAUGGCGGAUUACAUAGUUGGCGGGGUAAAGGCCCACCAAGGCGACGAUUCGUAGCCUGUCUGAGAGGAAGGUCGGGCCACACUGAAACUGAGAACGGGUCCGACCUCUAAGGGAGGCAGGCGUUGGGAAAUAUUGGACAAGGGGCGCAAGCUUGAGCCACACAGACGGCGGGGGGAAAAAAGGCUUUGGGGUGGUAAAGUCCUUUAUUAGGGAAAAAAAAACAGGUGAUUAACACCCCGCUGUUCGAACGGAACCAAAAGAAUAAGCACCGCCAAAUUCGGU
rnacentral:rRNA from 1 species